rnacentral:rRNA from 1 species
AUUGAACGCUGGCGGCGGGCCUAACACAUGCAAGUCGAACGGGUGGCGGACGGGUGGGUGAUGUCUGGGAAACUGCCUGAUGGAGGGGGAUAACUACUGGAAACGGUAGCUAAUACCGCAUACCCUCGGAUGUGCCCAGAUGGGAUUAGCUAGUAGGUGGGGUAAAGGCUCACCUAGGCGACGAUCCCUAGCUGGCCUGAGAGGAUGACCAGCCACACUGGAACUGAGACACGGUCCAGACUCCUACGGGAGGCAGCAGUGGGGAAUAUUGGACAAUGGGCGCAAGCCUGAUGAAGCCAUGCCGCGUGUAUGAAGAAGGCCUUCGGGUUGUAAAGUACUGUCAGCGGGGAGGCGUUACCCGCAGAAGAAGCACCGGCUAACUCCGUGCCAGCAGCCGCGGUAAUUC